AUGGACGGGGGUAGCAGCAUCAAUAUCCUCUAUUAUGAGACCUUUCAAUGCAUGGGGUUAACUGAUAAGAAUUUGAAGACGUCCAGCACUAUUUUUUAUGGAGUGGUCCCUGGUAAGUCGGCGUACCCAGUUGGCAAGAUUGAACUGGAGGUGGCUUUUGGAGAUAAGUAUGACUCCAAAGCUGAAAUAUUAACCUUUGAGGUGGUCAAAAUCAGGAGUCCAUAUCAUGCUCUGUUUGGACGGCCGGCUUAUGCCAAGUUUAUGGCACGACCAUGCUAUGUUUACCUGCAGCUGAAGAUGCCAGGUCACAAGGGUACCAUCACCGUGCACGGAAGUCGAAAGGUAGCCCUGGAAUGUGAGGAGGGCGACGCGGCUUAUGCUGAGUCUGUUUGCGCAGCGGAGGAACUGAAGUUUUAUCAAAACAACAUUGACCCGACAGAUAUGACCUCUCUAAAGAAGCCAACCAUCGAGCAUGACCUGGUAAUGAAGUUUAAGUCGGCUGCUGAAACUAAGCUUGUGGAUUUCAAUCCGGGUGAUUCAUCUAAGCAGUUCAACAUCAGUGCCAAUUUGGAUCCUAAAUAG
rnacentral:rRNA from 1 species